rnacentral:misc_RNA from 1 species
GACCAAUACCGGAAAACAAUACUUGCCGGUGCCGUCGCACUGACAUGCGGACUCACCGCAGCCAGUACGUUUGCCGCAGGUUUUCAACCGGCGCAGCCCGCAGGGAAAUUAGGCGCAGUCGUUGUCGAUCCUUACGGAAAUGCCCCUCUCACCGCGCUGGUGGAAUUAGAUAGCCAUAUUAUUUCAGACGUUAAAGUUACUGUACAUGGCAAAGGGGAAAAAGGCGUUCCCGUUACUUAUACCGUUGGGAAAGAGUCUUUAGAAACCUAUGACGGUAUUCCUAUUUUUGGCCUUUAUCAGAAAUUUGCCAACAACGUCACGGUAGAAUAUAAAGAAAACGGCAAAGCCAUGAAGGAUGACUAUGUGGUGCAGACGUCCGCCAUCGUCAACCAUUAUAUGGAUAACCGUUCUAUUUCAGAU